rnacentral:rRNA from 1 species
UGGGGAAUUUUGGACAAUGGGGGAAACCCUGAUCCAGCCAUCCCGCGUGUGCGAUGAAGGCCUUCGGGUUGUAAAGCACUUUUGGCAGGAAAGAAACGUCGCGGGUUAAUACCCCGCGAAACUGACGGUACCUGCAGAAUAAGCACCGGCUAACUACGUGCCAGCAGCCGCGGUAAUACGUAGGGUGCAAGCGUUAAUCGGAAUUACUGGGCGUAAAGCGUGCGCAGGCGGUUCGGAAAGAAAGAUGUGAAAUCCCAGAGCUUAACUUUGGAACUGCAUUUUUAACUACCGGGCUAGAGUGUGUCAGAGGGAGGUGGAAUUCCGCGUGUAGCAGUGAAAUGCGUAGAUAUGCGGAGGAACACCGAUGGCGAAGGCAGCCUCCUGGGAUAACACUGACGCUCAUGCACGAAAGCGUGGGGAGCAAACAGGAUUAGAUACCCUGGUAGUCCACGCCCUAAACGAUGUCAACUAGCUGUUGGGGCCUUCGGGCCUUGGUAGCGCAGCUAACGCGUGAAGUUGACCGCCUGGGAGUACGGUCGCAAGAUU